UACGUAGGGUGCAAGCGUUGUCCGGAAUUAUUGGGCGUAAAGAGCUUGUAGGCGGCUUGUCGCGUCUGCUGUGAAAUUUCGGGGCUCAACCCCGAACUUGCAGUGGGUACGGGCAGACUAGAGUGUGGUAGGGGAGACUGGAAUUCCUGGUGUAGCGGUGAAAUGCGCAGAUAUCAGGAGGAACACCGAUGGCGAAGGCAGGUCUCUGGGCCACUACUGACGCUGAGAAGCGAAAGCAUGGGGAGCGAACAGG
rnacentral:rRNA from 1 species